rnacentral:rRNA from 1 species
UACAGAGGUCCCGAGCGUUGUUCGGAUUCACUGGGCGUAAAGGGUGCGCGGGUGGGUUGGCAAGUUUGAUGUGAAAGCCCCGGGCUUAACCCGGGAAUGGCAUUGAAUACUGCUGAUCUGGAGGAUCGGAGGGGGGACUGGAAUUCUUGGUGUAGCAGUGAAAUGCGUAGUUAUCAAGAGGAACACCAGUGGCGAAGGCGAGUCCCUGGACGAUACCUGACACUGAGGCACGAAAGCCGGGGGAGCAAACAGG